rnacentral:rRNA from 1 species
UCCUUAGUAACGGCGAGCGAAGUGGGAACCAGCCCAGGUCUGGAAUCUCCCGGUCGGCAUUAGUCGUGACUGGGCGAAUUGUGGUCUGGAGAGGCAGACUGUCCCGAUCCACCGCCUGCGAGCCCGAAGUUGACUUGGAACGGCACGCCAGAGAGGGUGAGAGCCCCGUAGGGCAUGGAAAUCGUUAGCGGCGGGACGAGGGUCUGUUCUCGUAGAGUCGGGUUGUUUGGGAAUGCAGCCCAAAGUGGGUGGUAGACUCCAUCCAAGGCUAAAUACGGGCGCGAGACCGAUAGCUGACAAGUACCGUGAGGGAAAGGUGAAAAGCACUUUGAAGAGAGAGUUCAAUAGACCGUGAAACCGUUGGUAGGGAAGCUCAGGGUGUCGAGGUUGUCGUGCUUUGACUGGGUUCAUCUGGUGGUGUUGCCGCCGCCGGUGCAUUUCCAGUCGAGGUUGGACCGUCAGUCGGGAAGACGCCGGGAAUCUGGUUGUCGGUGUUGGGGAGGUAGGCCUUGCGGUUGCUCUCGAGUGCCCAGGGUCACGUAUAGCCCUUCGCCGUGAUCUCCGUUGUCUUUCAGGUGCGUUGGAUGGCCGUUCGUCCAUUGUUGGUAGGUGCAGUCUCCCCUUCGUGGGAGUUCGGGCCGGAUGCCGAGUCGCUUGCUGUUGCGUAGCUGUGUUCCGUUCUCUCGCCGUUUGACUCGUUCGGCGGGGUA